GUCCCUUCGGAGACAUUCGAUAAAAUUUGAAUGAUAUAGAGAAGAUUAGCAUGGCCCUUGCGCAAGAAUGACACGCACAAAUCGAGAAAUGGCACAAUUUUUU